rnacentral:rRNA from 1 species
GCGUUAAUCGGAGUUACUGGGCGUAAAGGGCGCGUAGGCGGUUUAGCGAGUGUGAUGUGAAAGCCCCGGGCUUAACCUGGGAAGUGCAUCGCAAACGGCUAGACUAGAGUAGAUGAGAGGGUGAUGGAAUUUCCGGUGUAGCGGUGAAAUGCGUAGAGAUCGGAAGGAACGUCGAUGGCGAAGGCAGUCACCUGGCAUCAUACUGACGCUGAGGCGCGAAAGCGUG